CGGCGCUCCUCUCCCUUUCUCCUCCCUCUGCUCUCGUUCGUUGCCGCUCCUCUCCCUAAUCUGCUCUCACUGUCGCUGGGAUCUUCACCCACGCUCACGCAUACCUGUGCCGUCGCCGGCCUCCACCACGAUUCCUCCACAGCACUGCCUACACGCUGUGAUUCUGCCUUUCUCCUCCCAAACUCAUUCUUGUCGUUGCUGCUCCCUAAUCUGCGGAUCUCACCGUGAUUUGUUGUGGAUUGGAAGAAUUUAAUAGUCACCUUGCUCCUUUCUACAUAAUCGAAUCAAACAGGUGACAGGUACUUGGAUUUUGC